rnacentral:RNase_P_RNA from 1 species
GCAGCAGGCUGUUCUAUCGCUCUUACCGCAGUAGCGGGAGGGGAGGAAAGUCCGGACAACACAGAGCGCCAUACUUCUUAACCGGAAGAUGUCCGUGAGGGUAUAGCAACGGAGCAGAAAAUAACCGUCCGCCAGCUGGCGGAUAAGGGUGAAAAGGUGAGGUAAGAGCUCACCGGUACCGGUGGCGACAUUGGUAGCCGUCCGUCUUAUGGGUUGAAAGACCAUGUAUACCGGUGUUUUCGGGUUGCUCGCCCGAUACCGGGGGGUAGGUCGAUAUGAUCCUUGCAGCGAUGUAAGGGCAAGAUAAAUGAUAGAAGUUCGUUUCUGUUAACCGGGAUCGGAUACAAAAUCCGGCUUAUAGGCUUGCUGCUUUU